GAAGUGAGAUUUUUGGUUUUCACCAGGUUGCUAGCUCACUGAGUGACCUCCCUGAGUUUUCCCACAAUCUUCCUACCUCUCAGUUUGCCAUGGCGGAGAAGCUGUUGGAGUUCACUCUUGGUGAGCUGCUGAGGUCUUGUGGAUUCCUCUGAUCUGCUUUCUCUCCAUUUCUCCAAAAGCAGACUGUUCUGAAAACUUGGAAAACUAAGCAUACUGUUAAUAAGUGGGGAGAGAUCUGGGAAAUCAUGAUCAAGUUUUAGCAGUCCAAUUUCCUGAGAAAUGCUGGAGGGAUUGGCUGUCAGUCAAGUGAGACAGAUGUUGCCAAAAGAGGAAGUGAAGAUGGAAGAGGGGCCAAGAACUAGUUGCUGGGAGAAUCUGCCGUUACUCGUGGAAGAAGAGGAGUAACCAAGGAGACAGAAGGAGCACUGAGUGGGUGUCUUGUGGACCAGUUCUGCACGUUUGAACUAAGAACAACCAACCAAGCAAGAAAAAGAUGCAUGUUCUUUUAAAAACAAGAAGAUAUUUUAUGUAAUUUUAGGUAAAUUUAAAUAAUAAAACUUUAAAAAUUAUAAUAGUGAGGAAAUAAAAAAUAGCCUAACUAAAAAUG